AACUUGUAGCAAGCCAGCUACAGUACAGUCCCCUCUGCAGUUCUGACGGUAGGUGGGGCUUUUCUUGGGAAUACAGCUCACUGAAAUGUCCCAGAACCCCCUUGGUCUCUGCAGCCCUCUAUGUUCCUCCUCCUGGUCCUCCUGGCACUUCUCCCCAUUCGAGACUGUGCAGCUCUUUCUGGGCCAGUGUUACUCAAGCCAGUCGUUUGGAAAGAGAGAACUUCAACUGAGGAAAAUGCACCCACCAUACUGGCCUGAGGACAUUUUCUUGAUUGAUGAUGGAUGUGGGGGUGCCCAGCUCACCGUGGGUGGGGCCACCCCUGGCAGACGGCACCUGGAGCCAUAAGAGAGCAGACAGACUGAGCAAGCCAUUCAUGGGCAGGCAGUAAGCAGCACCCCUUCAUGAUGUCUGCUUAAGUUCUGGCCACCAGGGUCUUGCCCUGCUUGAGUUUCUACCCUGACUUCCCUUGGAGAAGGACUGUAACUUGGAAGAAUAAUAAACCUGUUCUUCCCC
rnacentral:lncRNA from 1 species